rnacentral:rRNA from 1 species
UGGAUCCAGACUUUGAUUAUGGCUCAGGAUGAACGCUAGCUACAGGCUUAACACAUGCAAGUCGAGGGGCAGCAUGACGAUAGCUUGCUAUUGUUGAUGGCGACCGGCGCACGGGUGAGUAACGCGUAUCCAACCUUCCCGUUGCUAGGGGAUAACCUUGCGAAAGUAAGACUAAUACCCUAUGAAGUUCUUCGCAGGCAUCUAAAGAGAACCAAAGAUUUAUCGGCAACGGAUGGGGAUGCGUCUGAUUAGGUUGUUGGCGGGGUAACGGCCCACCAAGCCUACGAUCAGUAGGGGUUCUGAGAGGAAGGUCCCCCACAUUGGAACUGAGACACGGUCCAAACUCCUACGGGAGGCAGCAGUGAGGAAUAUUGGUCAAUGGACGGAAGUCUGAACCAGCCAAGUAGCGUGCAGGAUGACGGCCCUAUGGGUUGUAAACUGCUUUUAUGUGGGAAUAAAGUGAGGGACGUGUCCCUUUUUGUAGGUACCACAUGAAUAAGGACCGACUAAUUCCGUGCCAGCAGCCGCGGUAAUACGGAAGGUCCGGGCGUUAUCCGGAUUUAUUGGGUUUAAAGGGAGCGUAGGCCGUCUUUUAAGCGUGUUGUGAAAUACUGUCGCUCAACGACAGAGGUGCAGCGCGAACUGGGAGACUUGAGUGCGCGGAAUGCAGGCGGAAUUCGUCGUGUAGCGGUGAAAUGCUUAGAUAUGACGAAGAACUCCGAUUGCGAAGGCAGCUUGCAGUAGCGUAACUGACGCUGAAGCUCGAAAGUGCGGGUAUCGAACAGGAUUAGAUACCCUGGUAGUCCGCACGGUAAACGAUGGAUGCUCGCUGUGUGCCCUUGGGUACGCGGCCAAGCGAAAGCGUUAAGCAUCCCACCUGGGGAGUACGCCGGCAACGGUGCAACUCAAAUGAAUUGACGGA